AUUGAACGCUGGCGGCAGGCCUAACACAUGCAAGUCGAACGAGUGGCGGACGGGCUAGUAAUGUCUGUGAAAUUGCCUGAUGGAGGGGGAUAACUACUGGAAACGGGAGCUAAUACCGCAUACCAUCGGAUGUGCCCAGAUGGGUCUAGCUCGUAGGUGGGGUAACGGCUCACCUAGGCGACGAUCCCUAGCUGGUCUGAGAGGAUGACCAGCCACACGGGAACUGAGACACGGUCCAGACUCCUACGGGAGGCAGCAGUGUGGAAUAUUGCACAAUGGGCGAAAGCCUGAUGCAGCCAUGCCGCGUGUAUGAAGAAGGCCUUCGGGUUGUAAAGUACUUUCAGCGGGGAGGCGUUACCCGCAGAAGAAGCACCGGCUAACUCCGUGCCAGCAGCCGCGGUAAUUC
rnacentral:rRNA from 1 species